rnacentral:tRNA from 1 species
UGAUCAAUGGUUCAGUCAGCAGAGCAUGAGACUCUUUAUCUCAGGGCUGUGGGUUCGAUUCCCACAUAGGCCAA